AGUGAACGCUGGCGGUAGGCCUAACACAUGCAAGUCGAACGGCAGCACAGUAAGAGUUUGCUCUUACGGGUGGCGAGUGGCGGACGGGUGAGGAAUACAUCGGAAUCUACUUUUUCGUGGGGGAUAACGUAGGGAAACUUACGCUAAUACCGCAUACGACCUACGGGUGAAAGCAGGGGAUCUUCGGACCUUGCGCGAUUGAAUGAGCCGAUGUGGGAUUAGCUAGUUGGCGGGGUAAAGGCCCACCAAGGCGACGAUCCGUAGCUGGUCUGAGAGGAUGAUCAGCGACACUGGAACGGGGACAGGCUCCAGAGUCCUACGGGAGGCAGCAGAGGGGAAUGUUGGACAAUGGGCGCAAGCCUUAUCCAGCCAUACCGCGUGGGUGAAAAAGGCCUUGGGGUUGUAAAGCCGGUUUGUUGGGAAAAAAAAGCAGCAGGUUAAUACGCCGCUGUUCUGACGGUAACCAAAAAAUAAGCACCGGCUAACUUCGUG
rnacentral:rRNA from 1 species